GACGAACGCUGGCGGCAUGCCUAAUACAUGCAAGUCGAGCGGAUCUUGUUAGUAGCUUGCUACUAACUUGGUUAGCGGCGGACGGGUGAGUAACACGUAGGCAACCUGCCCUUAAGAUCGGGAUAACAUUCGGAAACGAAUGCUAAGACCGGAUAAACAAUUUGGCUGCAUGGCUGAAUUGGGAAACGCGGAGCAAUCUGCGGCUUAGGGAUGGGCCUGCGGCGCAUUAGCUAGUUGGUGGGGUAAAGGCUCACCAAGGCGACGAUGCGUAGCCGACCUGAGAGGGUGAACGGCCACACUGGGACUGAAACACGGCCCAGACUCCUACGGGAGGCAGCAGUAGGGAAUCUUCCACAAUGGGCGAAAGCCUGAUGGAGCAAUGCCGCGUUAGUGAGGAAGGCUUUCGGGUCGUAAAGCUCUGUUGCCAGGGAAGAAUAAGGGUGAGAGUAACUGCUCAUUCGAUGACGGUACCUGAGAAGAAAGCCCCGGCUAACU
rnacentral:rRNA from 1 species